rnacentral:lncRNA from 1 species
GGCGUCUCGGAGCCACCCUGAAAGGGGGCCUUCGGACCGGUCACGUGGGAAGGCGGUUGGCGUAGUUGCCAGGCAACCACCGCUGUGGGGUGAAGAAUGCGCUGAGCUAUCUUCCGGUCCUAGCAAAUCAGGGAUCCCCAAAGAAAACAAGGGGACCAACGCCAGGGUCGCGAGGGUGAGGGACUGGAGGCUGAGUAAUGGGAAAGGAAGAGCUGUUCUAUUCAUUCGAUGACAGGAGAGGCCUCAGAACUGGAUAGAAAGCCACACAAGGUGUCGGGCUUAUAGUCUCAGCUACUUAGGAGGCUAAACCAGGAAGAUAAAAAACAAACAAUAACAGCAACAAAAACCUGGACAGGAACGGGAUACCUAGAUUCAGUUGCUGACCAACCCAACUCCCUUCUCAGCAUUCAGCUUCUCCACGUCGAGGUGGGGGUCAGGGUGGCCAUGGGGUUAAUUGUAGACCUCCUGCUUUCCUGCUCUAGUGCUGUUCCUGGGUGAAUCACAAAAUCUAGCUCAACUUACCAGGAAUCUGAAGCUCAGGAAGGUCUCACAAGUAAAUGCCAGAGCCCAGACUGGAACCCAUCUGGAAGAUUCUCUUGUAGAAAAGGCCAGUUAGACUCUGCCCUGAGACUACAAAAGUACAACUGCAGAACUAAAGACUUUUCUCAUGUACUUAGACAUCUGUGCCUCCAGCUUUGGGUUGGACAGAG